AGGAUGGAGGUCCCUGUGUAUGGGGAAGCAGGGAGAAUUCAACCCCAGAUUUUUCAGCAAGGCUGAUUUCAACCUUGAAUUGAGCUCCCAGCAGGAGUUCCUUAUGCUUGGAAAUCCUUACUAAAAGAUUAUAGCUUACGUGACCAAGAGACCAGUCAAAAAAUGUACUUUAUUACUAUUUGGGACUUAUGUUUUACCUGCUCAAAGAAGUGUUAACCUAGGUCCCAUUUUCUCCAAUUCCCUUGUAACCAGUGAAGGAAGAACGGGGUGUUAUUUGGUUUGUUUUCCUAUGGACUGUUCAGUAACCAUGUAAGGGGUUGUGUAACCUAGAGAGGCUGUUUACUACCACUGUCUAAUCCCUUUGUUAUCAUUCUCCUUGAUUGUCACAAGCAGGGGAAAAUAGUUCUGUCCUGCUUCUAAAAACUUAGUGUAACAACCACGUUUUCUUGGUUUUAGUUAGUAAUUUUUCUCUGAUUAAUGGUGAAAGAAAGACUCAGAGGGAAAAGCUACAUUAAAAGAUUUAUGGAUAUAUACACUUAAGACCAUGAUGAAGUAUGAUUCACACCAACUUCAGAAUGAUUGCCUUUGAGGAGAAAGGGAGGGAGAAGGGCCACGAGAUGGGGUUUUAGCUGUAUCUGGAAUGCUUUAUUUAAAAAAUGAAGGGAUGAAGGAAUGAGAGUAUGAUUUGGGUUGUUUGCCUUGUUUUUGGUAAGUUUGAAAUAUUGUAUAAUUUAAAAAAAUGUAGUGUUCUCAAAAUUAUGGUAAUUGAUUAAAACUAUCAAAAUAAAGGAUGCAUAGCAAACAAGUGCCCUUGUUCUGAACAUUUUUAUGCAUUUAUUUCACCAUUUGUCUUCUUCCUAUCUGAAAAAUUGCAGAUGCAAACACAGAAGGUUGGGGGGACAUGGAUAACUUCUAGGGUUGUGUGAGGGGUUGUCCUGAGUAUCUUUCUCCCCCUUUCUCUUUCAUGGGGGAGGGUGCUUCCUAAUCACCAGGGAGAUUAACAGUCAAACAACUCUCCAAAAAGCAACCUAGGGCUGGAAGGAGGAUCUGCUUCAUUUCUUCUAAGCUGGGAAUUUGCAGCUGGGCCAAAAAUUUGGGACAGUGUCUUUCUAUGGAGCCAAAGGACCUUCUACAUCUUUUCCCAAACUGAUUUCUUCCUGGUACUCCUGGCAGGAAGAAAUCCAAGUAACUAUUCAGGUGGCUUUUUCCUUUUUUCUGAGAGUCCAGGAUCGCCUUCUGGGAUAAAGUUUCUUCUUGCCCAUGGUGCUUUGCUGUGACAUUGUAAUUGCCUCUGUUGAAUUGAAUAAUACAAAUGGGUUGUUUCUAUGGUAUCGGCUAAGUGGGAUGAAAAGGUGAAACCCUAGAUCUUGCGCUGGGAGGUCACGGUGCUACCACCCCCCAACACUAACUGUCCGUCAAAGCUGACCGGCAGCCAGGCCCCCUGUUCUCCGAGCUCUGGCGCUCAUUUGUAACUUCCUGAGCAAAUUCACGCUUGACAAAGAAAAUGACUUUAGUUUAUGUUGUCACUAAGCCCAGAAAAUCCCUGCCAACCCCCAGCUGCCAGCUUUCCUAGGACCUUCUUAUUGGUGGAGAAUUUUAAACUGAAGGUGAGUGAGGAGCCGCGUCUCCCAGUCCCUCCCAGCCAGGCUUUGAACUAACAAUAGGGCAGGUUGAAUGAAGGCUGAUAAAUGCAAAUCCCGGAAUGCCGACACCGGAUCACAGCGCGACCGCCUGGGUGCGCGCUCCAGCCGUCGCAGCGACCUAGUCACUCGCCACGUCGGGAUGCUCGGUAGAUUGCAUCGUUUUAGCACCACUGGAGUCCCUACUGCUUCCCUCCGCAGGCCCGAGCUCUCGUUCAUCGCCUGUGGGCCGCCCGAGUCCCCCUGCCACUAAAUUGAUCUGAUUGAGUAACUGGCAUGUUAACUCAGGAGAAGCACCUGGGAGAGGGGGCGGGGAAAUAAAAGUGGGCUUUUACCCUCUCUUGCUCAGUUUUAGCUCCACUUUACUCAAAGCAGGUUUUCCUGGUUGUAACAGAAUAAGAGAUGCUAUUUUCUUAGAAUGGUAAAAGCAAACAAACAACAAAAAAACAAGAGGAGAGAUAAGAUGAGCAGGGUUUUGGAGUUGGAGUCACAGGGACCAAUAACUCAUCAAGCCAGCACUUCGGAGGACUCAGAGGAAUCCAUCUCUCGAGCACUCAAAGUUGAGCAGUCUCAACCAUAAAACCUGCAGUCUUGGCAAGUGCAGUUCUUGAAUUUGGGAGGAAAAGAGAAACCCUGUAAUUCUCAGGUUUCUUAGAUGAAGAUAAGUUCAACUUUAAAAUUCAUGAAGAGAUUCAGGAAUUAUUAUCCCAUACUACUUAAUGAAACAGUGAGACUUGGAGAUUAGUUUCCUGCCCCAAAUCUAAGUUCUUGUGUCCUAGCAUUACUGAAGGAAAGAAGAAGUGGUGAGCGUUCAGACUUCGGUGGGUUCAGCUGCUGUUUGUUUGGACACUCAAGAGAUCCCUGCUCUUCCCUGAACAUGGAUGAGAUGCUUAGGAAUAAUGGAGAAUUCUGAGGGUGGCAGGGAACCAAGCCCUGGCUACAAGAAUAUUGUGCUUCCCUCUGGUUCCCAUAAUUUUAGUGUGAACAUAUUAGAUAUUCAAGGGGAGGAAACUGUGCAGGAAAAUAUAAUAGGAGAAGACCCACAGGCCAGGGACAACCAGGAGUUAGCUGCUGUGUCUAAAAUCUUGUUUGUACUAAUUUAAGGAAAAUACACCACACUACAAGUUUCAUUUGAGGAAUUUGUAAUACCGUUUGGUUUUAUUUCCCUAUUUUGUCUUGUUAAUGCUUUUUAUGACACCUUUUUUCAGAUGGCAACUUUGGACAAGCUGUUUAUUAGUUAGAUUUAAAGAAUCAAAUACUUAUACGCUUGACCAGGAAGUAUGUUAGAUGCAUUUAACUUGGGCUAACUACAUCAGCUUCAGAUUUUUUUCCUCAGAGCUUCUUAAUAAUUAAGAAUUCAGCACAUGAAAAACAAAGCUUCCAAAAUUUAAGACAUUUGGCUAGAUUUUUUGAUGUUCUUUUGAGCUUAAAAAUUUUUAUAAUCAAAUUAGGUUUACUAUCCCAUCUUGUUCUUUACUGCUUUGAGGACCUCUAGCCUUUCCUUUUACAAUUUCUGAUGUCCUAAUAUUUGCAUUGAUGUAAGUUCUCUGUUGAACAUCUAGAAGGUUAACUUCUCUGCUGGCUUUAGAGAAAUUAAACUCUAAGUCUUUACCCCCGUUAUCUUAGGCUAAAAUCUUUGCAAAAUUAGUCUUUAUGGUCACUGCUGUCCUAUUGCUUAGUCACUAAGUCUUGUCCGACUCUUUCACAACCCCAUGGACUGUAGCCUACUGGGUGCCUCUGUCCAUGGGAUUUUCU
ensembl:lncRNA